GGGAGUGUACUCAAGUGGUUAAGAGGUUGUGUUUAGGUAAUUUGCCGAAACCGCAAUGCAGCAAUGCGCGCGAGUUCGAAUCUCGUCGCUCUCA